rnacentral:rRNA from 1 species
UACAGAGGGUGCGAGCGUUAAUCGGAAUUACUGGGCGUAAAGCGCACGUAGGCGGCUUGGUAUGUCGGGUGUGAAAUCCCCGGGCUCAACCUGGGAACUGCAUCCGAAACUGCCUUGCUCGAGUAUGGGAGAGGGAAGUGGAAUUCCCGGUGUAGCGGUGAAAUGUGUAGAGAUCGGGAGGAACACCGGUGGCGAAGGCGGGUCUCUGGGCAUCUCCUGACGCUGAGGCGCGAAAGCGUGGGGAGCAAACGGG